rnacentral:rRNA from 1 species
UACGAAGGGGGCUAGCGUUGCUCGGAAUUACUGGGCGUAAAGGGAGCGUAGGCGGAUAGUUUAGUCAGAGGUGAAAGCCCAGGGCUCAACCUUGGAAUUGCCUUUGAUACUGGCUAUCUUGAGUAUGGAAGAGGUAUGUGGAACUCCGAGUGUAGAGGUGAAAUUCGUAGAUAUUCGGAAGAACACCAGUGGCGAAGGCGACAUACUGGUCCAUUACUGACGCUGAGGUGCGAAAGCGUGGGGAGCAAACAGG